rnacentral:rRNA from 1 species
UACGGGGGGGGGCAAGCGUUGUUCGGAAUUACUGGGCGUAAAGGGCUCGUAGGUGGCCCCAUAAGUCGGACGUGAAAUCCCCAGGCUCAACCUGGGAACUGCGUCCGAUACUGGAUGGCUUGAAUCCGGGAGAGGGAUGCAGAAUUCCAGGUGUAGCGGUGAAAUGCGUAGAUAUCUGGAGGAAUACCGGUGGCGAAGGCGGCAUCCUGGACCGGCAUUGACGCUGAGGAGCGAAAGCCAGGGGAGCAAAGCGGG